rnacentral:rRNA from 1 species
UGGGGAAUUUUGGACAAUGGGCGAAAGCCUGAUCCAGCAAUGCCGCGUGUAUGAAGAAGGCCUUCGGGUUGUAAAGCACUUUUGUCCGGAAAGAAAUCCUUGGCUCUAAUACAGUCGGGGGAUGACGGUACCGGAAGAAUAAGCACCGGCUAACUACGUGCCAGAGCCGCGGUAAUACGUAGGGUGCAAGCGUUAAUCGGAAUUACUGGGCGUAAAGCGUGCGCAGGCGGUUUGCUAAGACCGAUGUGAAAUCCCCGGGCUCAACCUGGGAACUGCAUUGGUGACUGGCAGGCUAGAGUAUGGCAGAGGGGGGUAGAAUUCCACGUGUAGCAGUGAAAUGCGUAGAGAUGUGGAGGAAUACCGAUGGCGAAGGCAGCCCCCUGGGCCAAUACUGACGCUCAUGCACGAAAGCGUGGGGAGCAAACAGGAUUAGAUACCCUGGUAGUCCACGCCCUAAACGAUGUCAACUAGUUGUUGGGGAUUCAUUUCCUUAGUAACGUAGCUAACGCGUGAAGUUGACCGCCUGGGGAGUACGGUCGCAAGAUUAAAACUCAAAUGAAUUGACGGGGUCAUAGCUGUUUCCU